ACCACAUGUUAUUCAUGGGCUCCUUUACAUGUAUAAGAUACUGCUAGAGAAUUUAAGUAUCUGUUUUCUAAUAUCUUUGACAAUAUUGGCCAUAUCUUUUUCUGCUUAAACUUUCCCUAUCAUUUAUCUUGUUUAAACUUUUUUUUUUUUAUCUGUACAUCAGUUGUUUUCUUUUUUAUGCUUAAUUUAAAAAUUUCCAUAAAUAAAAAUAUGUUGAGUAACCUCCUUAAACUAAUGAAUGCUUUAAACUUUCUGCCAAAGGUGUUUUUUUAAAUUGAUAUGAAAUUUAUAUAUGGUGAAAAUGCCUAGAUCUAGAUCUUAACUAGAUCUAGGCAUUAACUAUAUACUCUUAACUGUAUAAUCCAAACAGUUUUGAUA
rnacentral:lncRNA from 1 species